rnacentral:rRNA from 1 species
AACGAACGCUGGCGGCAGGCCUAACACAUGCAAGUCGAGCGAGGACUUCGGUUCUAGCGGCGGACGGGUGAGUAACGCGUGGGAAUGUGCCCUUCUCUACGGAAUAGCCCUGGGAAACUGGGAGUAAUACCGUAUACGCCCUAUUGGGGAAAGAUUUAUCGGAGAAGGAUCAGCCCGCGUUGGAUUAGGUAGUUGGUGGGGUAAUGGCCUACCAAGCCGACGAUCCAUAGCUGGUUUGAGAGGAUGAUCAGCCACACUGGGACUGAGACACGGCCCAGACUCCUACGGGAGGCAGCAGUGGGGAAUCUUAGACAAUGGGUGCAACCCUGAUCUAGCCAUGCCGCGUGAGUGAUGAAGGCCUUAGGGUUGUAAAGCUCUUUCAGCUGGGAAGAUAAUGACGGUACCAGCAGAAGAAGCCCCGGCUAACUCCGUG